GCACCCUGCAAGGACAGUCUUGGUUAGUUUGAGGCAGGAACCCAAACACAUGACUGAGGAGAGAAUCCCAGGUGAGCAAGGGAGGGGGACACGGUGUGAGGGACUUUGUUCUAGAUCAUAGAGAUACUAGAGCAUUUGGUGUGUUAACAGAGAUAAUCAGGAGAGAGGAGACAACUGAGGAGGCAGCGGGGCAGGAGAGAAUGCAGAAGUAAUGUCCUUAGAGAUGAGGUUGAAUGAGAUCUAUACAAACAAGUGGGGACCUUGCUGAUAUGGAUUAGAGUCACUUUUUCAUAAAAUGAAGAAAUAUAGAGAGGACAUAGGGUGGUAGUUGGUAUGGGUGGAAGUGGUUGUUGUGGGUGGCUGGUGUGAAGUAGCAACCAAAAUCAUAAGCUGAGAACAACGUGCAGGUGUGGAGAAGAGAAUGUAGGCCCUCCCUACGAGAGAAGAUGUGAAGCCGUCAUUCUGUAAAGGACAAAGGACGAUAGGAUUGUAGAAACGUUUUUCAUGCAGUUUGAGAUCUGUCACCCUGGGCUGAAAGUCAGGGCAACCUGCAAAAUGGUGUGUUUUCCUCCCAUACUCCUGAGGUACAGGCCACUGCAUGGACAAAGAAGUGAGUUAGUGAGGAUCGGGCCUGGAUCAGAGGUGAGUGAUGGGUGGUGGCGGGUGGAGGAGUGCAAAGAGCUCAGAGCAUUUUCAAGGAAGUGGUUGAGACGUGGACUAUGGUCGCUGAGCUAGGUCAGGAGGAGAGUGAGGGUCUGUGUGGGGUGCCAGGAUGAGAGGUUGGAAAGGUGAACAAGUGGCUCAAAGGUGUUGCAACGGGUACAGUUAGCAAUGAUUUUCAUGUUGUCUGUGUGCCUUCCUUUCUUGCAGUGUGAAUCUGAGAUAUUACAGUGUCUUCCCUAUAUUCUUGUGGUACCUGUGCAGAUUGUCUGUACCUCAUCUUGAUGUUGUGCUCCCAGAACUUGCUGGUGUCCCUCACUGUAUGCUAUUGCAUCUAAGGUUGGUGGCGGCAAUAGCAGAGGUAACUUGAGAUAACAGUGUUGGUGCCCCAAGAUGGAAGCAAUGUGUUACAGAGAUGGGGAUGAAAGAGUGGGCCUCACACUCCCUUUGGGAUGCCUGCUCUGAGAUGCAGCUGCUUCUAGGCCCUGUCUGUCGUCAAAAAGUUAGGGGCUACUGCUUGGGAAGGCUAUGGCUAUGUCUGCAGUGUCCCAAGAUGGAAAUGGGUUAGCUCAGGCUCCCAGAUGGGGAGUGGGGGGGACAAACUCGGACCUACCCUGGACCUGGGUCCUGCGCAAGUUGGUGUGGACAGAUCUGGACCGGCCUGGACUCCUGUGGUAUCUGCUGGUCAGAAGAUGAGUCCUGUGCUGGAGGCUGGGCUCUGGCCGGUGCCUGCCAGUGGAGGGGUGCACCUGGGCCUGGGUCCCACGUGGGCUGGUGUGGGCGGUCUAACAAAAACCAUUUUAGAAGACGAUUAAUUUAUCUGGAAGCUCAUGGUUUCAGAAUCCUCCACCAUAGACAGCCAGCUCCAUUGCUCUGGGUCUGAGGUGUGGCAGAACAUCAUGGUGGUAUUGUGGUGGAGGAAACAGGCUCAGCGCAUGGCUUCCAGGAAGCAGAAGGAGACUUCCCUCCCCAUGGACAAACUAUAUACCCCAAAGUCAUGACCCAAUGACCCAUCUCCUCCAGACACCUUACUGGCCUAUAGUUACCACCCAGUUAAAUCCCUGUCAGUGGAUUAAUAUGAUGAUUACAUUUAGGCUCUUGUAACCCAAAUAUUUAACCUCCUGACUUUCUUGCAUUGUCUCACAUAUGAGCUUUUGAGGGGGUAUCUCAUAUCUAAAUCAUAAUAGGUCCUUUUCUUUCUAAUGAUAUUGUAUUUAUGAAGUUAUCAACAUACUUGGGGUCUUUGAAAAACUCCUGGGUACUCAGAGAUAAGUGAGACAUUAAACAUUAAAAAAUUAAUGUUUGAAUGAGGCUGAUUGUUUUUUAAAGAGUCAUUUUAAAGAAUGCUAUAAUAAUGAGUUCAAAUGGUAAAGGAACUGGGAGGGACAUUACUUCCCUCUGCAAUGAAGCUAUACAGCUCUGAGGUAGCACAAUUUUAGCUCUUUUUGUUGGGUGUGGUUAACUUAGAUGUGGUAUUGAGUGUGCCUGGGUUUAAAUUGUAGUUCUGCGAUUUAUAAUAGAAGUCACCCAAAGAAAAUUAUUUCAACGUGAGAAAAGGGAACCCUUGCACACUGUUGGGUGAAAAUGUAAAUUAGUAAAGCCAUUAUGGAAAACAAUACAGAUGUUCCUCAAAACAUUGAAAAUGGAGUCGCCACAUGGUCCAGCUAUACCACUGUCAUGUAUAUAAUUAAAGGAAAUGAAAUCGGUAUGGAAAAGAGACACCUGCAUUCCUGGGCUUUUUGCAGCAUUGUUUAUAGUAGCCAAGAAAUAUAAACAACCUAUGUGUCCAUCAGCUGAUGAGUGAAUAAGGAAAAUGUGGUACAGAUACACCACAGAAUACAAUUCAUUCACAGAAAAAGAGUGAAAUCCUGUGAUUUUGACAGCACGGAUAGAACAGGAGAUCAUCAUGUUACGUGAAAUAAGCCAGACCUAGAAAGACGAGCACAGCAUCAUCUCACUCCUGGGUGGAAUCUAACACAGGUUGACCUCACAGCAUCUGAGAUUAGGAUGUUGGCCACUGGGAUAUUGGCACCAGGGGUGGGAGUCACAAAUGAUAGACUGGAUCAGUGGGUACUAAGUUACAGUUAGGUAGCGAUAAGAAGUUCUGGGGUGCUAGUGCACACUGUGCCUUUUAAAAAGCUCGAAGAAAGGAGUUUGAAUGUGUUCAUCAUAAAUGAUAAAUGUUUGAGGAAAUAGAUAAGGUUAACCUGAUUUGAACAUCACACAGUGUACAAAUGUAUUAAAAUAUCU
rnacentral:lncRNA from 1 species